AGGAUUAGUGCUCCACAAAGGGAGGGUAGCAGCAUUAUAGUGAAAUGUAGACUCUCCAUAGGAGGCACCCAUACAUCCCAGCGGUGAGGGGAGGAGAGGAGGGGGAAGGCAUCUGUGGCCCAGCCAAGUUUGCCGAGGGAGACAGAUCGCCCUCACCACUGCCCAGACGCAGGUGUCAAACCUGAAUAGAGCGGGUGGAAAGCGCGGCGUGGGUACCUGCAGUUUGCACUGGAGCCUUGAAGACAAAUGAGACCAGUCAUGUGCCAGCAGCAGUGUGAUGCUGAUGAGAGAGAGGGCCCCCUCCAAAAACCACAGGAGGAGGAAGGCCAACAGCGCUGUGCCCGGGAGCAGAGCUGAGGUUCUGGAUGCGCAGCCCUGACCCCGGUCCACCAGCAGACAUCAAAAAGCCUGGCAGGUUCAGGGGGAACGCAAGCAAUGCGAUAACCAACUUGGAAAAUACCUCUUGCUUAGGAGAGAAAGCUGCCAGAAGAAAAGCCCAGCUCGCCAGCAUUAGCUCUGCCUUCCUUGCAUCAGCUCCACGUCAGCACAAACCCGAGCGAGGGGUGAGAGAUCGAGCUUGCAGGUGCCAGAGGGUUUGUGUUUUCCUCUACUGAAGGAGCCUGUUCUGCAGUUUUUACAAUAAAAUGGAUCAGCAGCCUUACGUCGCAUCACGAUUUGGCUGCGAGUUGAGCCAAACCACUAUUAUCUGCAUAGGCUCAUGGUAUGCCUCCCCUCCCUGCCUGAUAUACAAAUAUACAGCAAGAGUUUUACGGACAAGAUAAUGUUUAUCAGCUGCAUGAAAUGGCUAUGUUCACCCUGUAGGAGAAAAAAUUAAUUUUGCUCUGAAUUCCACUAUAACCAGACAGCUCUCCAUUUAUAUCCUGGAUAAUAAAUCAAAGCAACACGAAGUCUCAUGCAUAGAACUGAAGUGGUUUCUUAAAGCAAAUUUGGCAGGAAAUAAGUUAUCGUCUUAAAAAGCCAGUUCGCUCUCCACAUACAGUACACCACCAACUCUUUGCUAAAAUCUGCAAAUAGGCACGAAAAGUAAUUUUGUGAAAAGCAGAGAAAUCUGUGAGCUCUAAUGAAGCUCUGUGAGAUAGGCCAUAAUAAUCAGUCAUCAAAAUCAUACGUAACUGUCAGAAAAAUCACCCUGUGAGUUCUUUUUGAGUCCCGGGUUUGCAGUGCCCAGGUACUCAAACAUCACAAGGGCAAUUAGUUUGGCUUCACGUAAAAAUAAGGUCAUGCCAGUAUCACAACUUCCCUCUGUACUUUUCCUCUUUCUUCUUGCCUCCUCAACUAAUGUUAUUUUUUCUUUUCCAGCCUUCCUUUCUAGCUUCUCUUUCUGUCGUGAAAACAUGCCACGGAAAAGCGAUGUAAGCAAUGCAUAAUAUAUUUGCAGUAAUGUAUGAUUCAUUUACUAGCUUUCAUAAUUAAUGUGGCUGUGUUUUACAUACACAGUACUUCCUGCAUGCAUUUUAUGAUGUGAACACUCUUCAAAAUCUAAUAAAAUGUAAUCCAUUAAAAACAA